rnacentral:rRNA from 1 species
UACGUAGGGGUGCAAGCGUUGUCCGGAAUUAUUGGGCGUAAAAGAGCUCGUAGGCGGUCUGUCGCGUCUGCUGUGGAAAACCUGGGGCUAACCCCGGGCCUGCAGUGGGUACGGGCAGACUAGAGUGCGGUAGGGGAGACUGGAUUCCUGGUGUAGCGGUGAAAUGCGCAGAUAUCAGGAGGAACACCGGUGGCGAAGGCGGCAUCCUGGACCGGCAUUGACGCUGAGGCGCGAAAGCUAGGGGAGCAAACGGG